rnacentral:rRNA from 1 species
AUCGAACGCUGGCGGCAGGCCUAACACAUGCAAGUCGAACGGUAACAGGAAGCAGCUUGCUGAUUUGCUGACGAGUGGCGGACGGGUGAGUAAUGUCUGGGAAACUGCCUGAUGGAGGGGGAUAACUACUGGAAACGGUAGCUAAUACCGCAUAACGUCGCAUGACCAAAGAGGGGGACCUUAGGGCUUCUUGCCAUCGGAUGUGCCCGGGUGGGAUUAGCUAGUAGGAGGGGUAACGGCUCACCUAGGCGACGAUCCCUAGCUGGUCUGAGAGGAUGACCAGCCACGCUGGAGCUGAGACACGGACCAGACUCCUGCGGGAGGCAGCAGUGGUAAAGAAGGCAGAAGGGGCGCAAACCUGAUGCAGGCAUGACGCGUGAAUGAGGAAGGCCUUGUGGUGGUUAAGUACUUUCAGCGGGGAGGAAGGGAGUAAAUUUGAUACCUUUUCUCAUUGACGUUACCCGCAGAAGAAGCACCGGCUAACUCCGUG